AGGACCGUCAGCUUAUCUCCCCUCCGUGAUUCUCCGGGAAUCGCUCACCCCGCAACCCCUUCUCAUGUGCGCCGCCACUCCCUCUCUCUUUGUCUCCAUCUCGAUCUAUCAUCUCCCUCGUAUGGUGCCACCAGUGACUGGGGCGACGGCUAGCACCAGUGCUUUGGGGGAAGGUCACACCAGUGACAACAGCGGAGGCUGGUGGUGCCACCAGCGACUGGGAAACCUGCUUGGUCUGGGCUUUGCGACGGCAAGGACGCGCGGCACUACCGGCCCAGAUGAUCCAGGUCGCAUCUCCACUUCAGAACGACAUCCUUCUCCACGCAAGCAUUGGGGAGAGUUCUUGGCCGUGCGGCAACCAACAGCAAUCAGCAGCAAGCAGGCGUAUAAAGAUCCGUCCAGCCACAAGUAGUUGCCGACCGGUGAAAAAGUUGAUUUGUUUGUGUGGUGGACGGCGUUGUGCUAUGCAUGUCACCCACAAAUGAAUCGAUCACCGCAGAAGAUUAUAAUCAUAUCUAUUCCUCCCUCAAUAUAUUCCCGAGAGCUAACAUCGACGACACUACACACCGCUUGCAGUUGCUACCUUCUCCCCUUGAAGCAUGGCAUCUAUGGCAUGCCUGCCUGAUCCCACAACCGUUUUUCUCUCUCUCGUGACUUUCUAAUAUGCAAAUUAAUUUUUGUUCCCUGCUCAUGUUACAAGGGUGGCACUUGGACCAUGGCAUCUACCUAACAUUAAUAUACUCCCAUUUUUGUUUCAAGAAUUUAGUAAUUGAUAUCCUAUUCUAUACAUUUCUAAAACUGUUGAUUCAAACUUGCUAGGUUUCUUGAUGAUGUGUGGUAAGACUUCUGCUAUCAACCAAAUUAGGAAUUCUGGAGAAGGAGCCCCUCCCAUUGGAAUUGCGCCAUCCACACACAUGAGGUGCAACAGUCCAUGGUGGCAUGGCUUUGGAGCUGUAGCUGUGCUUGCAGACGCCUCGAGAUAUUCAUGCACAUCCAGAUAUGCACCAUCCGCAGACAUGAGGUGCAUCUGUCACAUGGUGUCCUGGUUUUGGAGCUGGAGUUGUGCUUGCUACUGCCGCGAGAUUUUCAUGCACAUCCACAUAUGUGCCUAACCUUGCUGCGUCUACCUGAUGUUAUGCGAUUUUGGCACAGGCAAUGCUGAAGAGGCACGUGACAAUUGCCAUUUGCCCGUGCUUUUUUACUAUUCUUUUCUUUUUCAUAUAUGUUCAUUGUGCCUGGUUACUGUGGUGAGAUGCCAUGUUAGGAAUGGUAAAUCAUAACGAGGUGUAUAAGCUAAAGUAAGGAAUACAUAUAUUGUUACAUUC